rnacentral:misc_RNA from 1 species
AAACUCAUGAGCUUAAAGCAGAGCUUUGAUAAGCAAUAGUAUUGCAAUCUGUACAGGAAACUAACUUUGUAACUGUUCUAUAGCUUAUGCAAAAGUCUCAAUAAGUUUAUCAGAUUUUUUAUUAGAAAAAGUAUGGAAAUCUGUACAGGAAAUGUCUGUAAACACUAAUUUUGCAUCUGUUAUAGUUAAAGCAGAAGUUUGUAAUAAGCAUCGAAAACUAACUAAUGGAUGGAUUUAGAGAAUUAGAUCGGAAAGAGGUCAACUUAGGGGGUAGCAACAUAGAUCUGCACAAGGGGCAAGUGACGUGUCCAUCGUUCACCCAAGUAUCAAGGCAUCCCCUGUGGAAGACAUGGCUGCAGGUGAUGAGCUCUCUGACCUCCUCAUCUAGCUCCAUGGAUUCAAGGCAGAUUGAGCAUCCCUUCACUGAUUGACCGCAUUUCCGCCGGCGGCAGAGGAGGUAAUCGCUGUAGAGGAG